rnacentral:rRNA from 1 species
CUAGCUGGUCUGAGAGGAUGACCAGCCACACUGGAACUGAGACACGGUCCAGACUCCUACGGGAGGCAGCAGUGGGGAAUAUUGCACAAUGGGCGCAAGCCUGAUGCAGCCAUGCCGCGUGUAUGAAGAAGGCCUUCGGGUUGUAAAGUACUUUCAGCGGGGAGGAAGGGAGUAAAGUUAAUACCUUUGCUCAUUGACGUUACCCGCAGAAGAAGCACCGGCUAACUCCGUGCCAGCAGCCGCGGUAAUACGGAGGGUGCAAGCGUUAAUCGGAAUUACUGGGCGUAAAGCGCACGCAGGCGGUUUGUUAAGUCAGAUGUGAAAUCCCCGGGCUCAACCUGGGAACUGCAUCUGAUACUGGCAAGCUUGAGUCUCGUAGAGGGGGGUAGAAUUCCAGGUGUAGCGGUGAAAUGCGUAGAGAUCUGGAGGAAUACCGGUGGCGAAGGCGGCCCCCUGGACGAAGACUG